rnacentral:rRNA from 1 species
GAUGAACGCUGGCGGCGUGCCUAAUACAUGCAAGUCGAGCGAAUGGAUUAAGAGCUUGCUCUUAUGAAGUUAGCGGCGGACGGGUGAGUAACACGUGGGUAACCUGCCCAUAAGACUGGGAUAACUCCGGGAAACCGGGGCUAAUACCGGAUAACAUUUUGAACCGCAUGGUUCGAAAUUGAAAGGCGGCUUCGGCGGUCACUUAUGGAUGGACCCGCGUCGCAUUAGCUAGUUGGUGAGGUAACGGCUCACCAAGGCAACGAUGCGUAGCCGGCCUGAGAGGGUGAUCGGCCACACUGGGACUGAGACACGGCCCAGACUGCUACGGGAGGCAGCAGUAGGGAAUCUUCCGCAAUGGACGAAAGUCUGACGGAGCAACGCCGCGUGAGUGAUGAAGGCUUUCGUGUCGUAAAACUCUGUUGUUAGGGAAGAACAAGUGCUAGUUGAAUAAGCUGGCACCUUGACGGUACCUAACCAGAAAGCCACGGCUAACUACGUGCCAGCCGCCGCGGUAA